UAUGCCAGGGACUUUCGAAAACGUCUUAUUGAACGUUGAAUCAUUUUUCAUAAAUAAAAAAAAAAUUAUGAAAAAUAUUCAUCUCAUCUGUAAAGUUUUACUUGACAAUAUUUAGCCCUGAUUGUCACAUGCAAUGAUCAUAUAAUUUGUCACCUACUAAUCACUGGAUUGAUUUGAGAAAUAUAAUGAAUCACGCAUUUGACAACACGGUUUCAUAUUUCCUUGUGGAUCUUUGCACUGAUGGCUAUUUAGCCAUCGACCCGCUAGUGGGAUAAGACGAGGGUUACGCAUACCUAACUGCACAUUCUUUUCGAAUUUUAUUUUUUUAGUCUACGUAUAAGUACACUUACACUCACACGGUAAUUUUAAUAAAAAAAAUUCAAAAGUAAUGUGGAAAAAUAAUCAAAUAACGAUGUUGAAAAUAUAAAAAAAAUACCAACACAAAAAUCUACCUUACCGACUGAUGGUAAAUAGUUUUUAGAAAAAUGAAAAUGUAAAAAAUUACCGAUAUACAAAUCUACCUUGCCGACUGAUAAAAAAGAACUUUUCUUUCAAAUGAAAAUAUAAAAAAUUACUUGCAUAGAAAUCUACCUUACCGACCGAUGGUAAUUACCAUCUGCCGGUAAAGAAGAUUUACGUGUCGGUAAUUUUUUAUAUUUGAAUUUCCAAAAAAAAAAUUCUUUACCAUCAGUCGGUAAGAUAGAUUUCUGCGUCGGUAAACUAUAUAUCUACAUUUUUCAAAAAAAAAUUCUUUUCCAUCAGUCGGUAAGAUAGAUUUCUAGAUCGGUAACUUUUUGUUUUCAUUUUUAAAAAUUUUUUACCAUCCUAUUAAUUUUUUAACCAUCUACAAUUUGGGUUUAUAUAAAUAAUUAUUGUCUGUUUUAAUAAAGUAAAUUAAAAUUAUUCUCUGCCUACAAUGAAAUUUUAUCGUUAUAUUGAAAUCUAAUAAAAAAGGAUUUUUAUUUUAAAUUGUAUAAAAUAAUUUUUUUAUAAUGCUUAUUUUUUUGGUGAGUGUUAAAAAAGUGUGCUUAUUCUGACCAAUAAAAUAAAUUUCAAAAAGUUUGCGGCAUGUUUUGUUUUGCUAUUUACAAACUCCCUGGCUGCCUCUUUAAUGGUAAAUCUGAAGAUAAGCUAUAUAUUUGCUGGUAUUAAGAUUUAUCCUUAAAGUUGCUUUAGGGCCUCAAGAAAGAAAAGGAUCUGGAUCUGGACCACGGAGCUGUAAAGGACCUAUCAUCAAUAUCGAAGUAGCAGUGAAGCCAUGGAAGCACAAUGUGGCACCUGCUGCUUAUAAAAAGGUAAACCGAUCUCUUUCCCCUGGUCAUUGUGCUCACCUCAAAGAUCGAAAGAAGAGGUUCGAAAAUUUUUCAAGGGGAUGGUCUCAGGACUCUCAGUUUCAGUGAUCGCAAAAGAUACACACAGUACAAACACAUUGUAUGUAUGAGUAUAUAUAUAUAUGUAUAUACUUAUAGGCCAGAAGAGUUUGCAAAAAGAAUAUAACAAAAAAACUUGAGAAAAAUCUUGGAGAGAAAAGACGCAGAAGCUUAAAAUGGAAUCGAUAGUACCUCAGAAAAGAAAUCUACCUUGAUUUUGUUUGCGGAAAAAAAUAAAUUCUUUGAAAAUGGUGGAAAAUAUACAAAAAAAAAAAAAAAUUUUUUUCAACAUGAAUGAAAAUGAAAAAAAAAGGAGAGACAUCCGGUGGAAGAAAAGGAAGUUAGAACGACAGACUGUAAUGAAAAAUGGAGAAACUACCAAGAUGCCAAAUAAAACGAAAAAGUUGAAGGAAAAUAAAAAGACUCCGGAAUCGAUGGAGGUUGAGAGAGAAAAAAAGAAAAAAAAAGUCACUAGGGAAAAAUGUCUCUUCCUUCAUCCCAGGAUCUUCUAAAAUUUUAAUGUUCUUAAAAUAUUUUUUCAACUCUUUUAAAAAAAAUUUGAUAUUUUUAUUUGCCAAAAAAUAUAAGCAUAAAAACGAAA